rnacentral:rRNA from 1 species
GAUGAACGCUGGCGGCGUGCCUAAUACAUGCAAGUCGAGCGAACGGACGAGAAGCUUGCUUCUCUGAUGUUAGCGGCGGACGGGUGAGUAACACGUGGAUAACCUCCCUAUAAGACUGGGAUAACUUCGGGAAACCGGAGCUAAUACCGGAUAAUAUUUUGAACCGCAUGGUUCAAAAGUGAAAGACGGUCUUGCUGUCACUUAUAGAUGGAUCCGCGCUGCAUUAGCUAGUUGGUAAGGUAACGGCUUACCAAGGCAACGAGGCAUAGCCGACGUGAGGGACGGAUCGCCGACCUGGGAACGGAGACACGGACCAGACGCCUACGGGAGGCAGCAGUCGCGAACCUGCCGCAGUGGGCGAAAGCCUGACGGAGCAACGCCGCGUGAGAGAUAGAAGUGUUGGGAGCGUAAUACUCUGUUAUUAGGGAAGAACAUAUUUGGAAGUAACUGAGGAGAGCGUGACGGUACCGAAUCAGAAAGCCCCGGCUAACUACGUG